CAAAGAUUAUCAUUCACCACAAAUUCCUACUUCCACAUCUUGAAUGUCUCUCUUAUAUAAAUCAAGAGAACUCUAAGAAACUUUCCAUCCACAAAUAAAACCUCAGAGAAUUUCAAGUUUUCUGAUAAACCCUUAAAGAACAAUCAUGGCAACAACAUUGAGAAGCUCAAAGCUCCAGUCAACACAUCGGUUUUUGAAGCAGAUUAGAAAGCAGAGGGCAAGGCUUUACAUCAUAUGGAGAUGUACAGUGCUGUUGCUCUCCUGGCAUGACUGACUGAUAUUAAGCAAUUCACAAUCAGCAGAUAGUGUUGGAAUAGAUGAAGCAAAUAUGUAUAUAGGAUUAAGGUUUUGGAAAAAAGUCUGAAAAUCCUUGUAUAGUUUAGGGAAAUGGAGACAAAGUUACAUCUAAAUUUGACUCGAGUUUUGACAAUAAUGUGAGUUACUAUUUAGAUUACAGAAUUCUGUAUUAUGAGAUCUUGUCUACAUCUCACCCCAUUCCCAACGCUCCUUUGAGAGAUAGCAAGUCCAUCCUCGGGGAGAAAAUUUUCUGGAGAACAAUCAUUUCCCUUGUUAAGAUCUGCAAACCAAAAAAAAAAAAAAAAAAAAUUGUUUCAAAUAAAUUUGAAAUUUCAUAAUGGAUUAAAAUGUGAAAAUACUAUUAUUGGCCCAACAUUUAUUGCUUGAUUAGUAAGAUGGUAUCGACUGAUUUUUCAUAAAUCAUUGUUAAAUUGUCACAUGAAACUAUAUUUCAUUUUCAAAUUUGUUGGGGUCAUGGGACAAUUUAAUGAGGAUUUAGAUGGUUUUUGACAUCAAGGACUAAUAU
rnacentral:lncRNA from 1 species